rnacentral:misc_RNA from 1 species
GAGAAACAAACUCUCAAUUUUAUUUAUUCUCAAAUCAAUUGUCAAUCAUGGAAAAAAGUCUACCAUAAUACCUAAAAGACAUUAAGAAAAUUCUAAUUAGGAAUCCCAUGCCAAUUCAAACUUCCUAAAUAAAAUAAAAAUACUACUUCCUAAAUAUUAAUAAUAGAAUUCUUAAUUUCAUAAUACUAAAAGAUCUAAAUUAAAGGUCUUAAUCUUCAAUUAAAAAAUAAAUAAAAAUAAUUCCUAAAUUG